rnacentral:rRNA from 1 species
CGGCUUACCAAGGCGACGAUACGUAGCCGACCUGAGAGGGUGAUCGGCCACACUGGAACUGAGACACGGUCCAGACUCCUACGGGAGGCAGCAGUAGGGAAUCUUCCGCAAUGGGCGAAAGCCUGACGGAGCAACGCCGCGUGAGUGAUGAAGGUCUUCGGAACGUAAAACUCUGUUAUUAGGGAAGAACAUACGUGUAAGUAACUAUGCACGUCUUGACGGUACCUAAUCAGAAAGCCACGGCUAACUACGUGCCAGCAGCCGCGGUAAUACGUAGGUGGCAAGCGUUAUCCGGAAUUAUUGGGCGUAAAGCGCGCGUAGGCGG